CCUACGGGAGGCUGCAGUGGGGAAUAUUGGACAAUGGGCGAAAGCCUGAUCCGGCCAUGCCGCGUGUGUGAAGAAGGCCUUCGGGUUGUAAAGCACUUUCAGUGGGGAAGAAAGCCUUGGGGCUAAUACCCUCGAGGAAGGACAUCACCCACAGAAGAAGCACCGGCUAACUCCGUGCCAGCAGCCGCGGUAAUACGGAGGGUGCGAGCGUUAAUCGGAAUUACUGGGCGUAAAGCGCGCGUAGGCGGUCUGAUAAGCCGGUUGUGAAAGCCCCGGGCUCAACCUGGGAACGGCAUCCGGAACUGUCAGGCUAGAGUGCAGGAGAGGAAGGUAGAAUUCCCGGUGUAGCGGUGAAAUGCGUAGAGAUCGGGAGGAAUACCAGUGGCGAAGGCGGCCUUCUGGACUGACACUGACGCUGAGGUGCGAAAGCGUGGGUAGCAAACAGGAUUAGAUACCCGAGUAGUC
rnacentral:rRNA from 1 species